AAGCAGAUUUUCCGUACAAGAAAGCCAUAGGCUCUCUGUUGUAUUUAAGUUUAUUUACAAGACCCGAUAUAUCUUUUUUUGUAGGUUAUUUAUCUCGAUUCCAAGCCAAUCCACAACAGUAUCAUUGGACAUUAGUAAAAAGGGUUUUCAGAUACUUGAAAGGUACCAGUCAGUUGGGUCUAAAAUAUACAGCAGGUUCCCCAACGUUGUCAUGCUAUUGUGAUGCAGAUUUUGCAGCACAGUUAUUGGCAGAAACUGUGGGUAUCAGUUCAUUUCCUGUUGAUAUAUAUGAAGACAAUGAAGCAGCAAGACAAAACUGUCUUGCAGGUACAAGUAAAAGUCGUUUAAAAUAUAUUGCACGUAAGUAUUUAUUAAUUCGUCAACAUGUAAGUGACAAGAAAAUUAAUAUUGUGAAGAUUAAUACCAAUGAUCAGAUUGCUGACAUUCUUACAAAACCUUUAAGUGCAGCAAAGCUAAGUAAAUUUCGUAAUCACCUUGUAUUCUAUGAGGCUUGAUUUUUUCAGUUGAUUUGUAUACAAAUAACCCAAUAUGUUCUCUUUUUUUUUUCAGUUAUCUGUUGUUUAUCCAUGUAUUGUUUAACAUACUCGGAUAAUACUAUAAAAUCUGUCGAGUAGUUGUCUGUGUGGAAAGGUUCUUCGGUUCCUGGAAACAUGCUUAGACAAUACUAAAAAUCUGUUGAAUAUGUGUCUGUGUGGAAAGGUUCUUCGGUUCCUGGAAACAUGCUUAGACAAUACUAAAAAUCUGUUGUGUAUAUGUCGGAGUUUUAUUGAAAGGUUCUUCGGUUCCUGGAAAUAUACUCUAAUAAAUAUGUUUAUAUGUUAA